rnacentral:rRNA from 1 species
AACGAACGCUGGCGGCAGGCUUAACACAUGCAAGUCGAACGCGUGCAGCAAUGCACGAGUGGCGCACGGGUGAGUAACGAGUGGAUAUCUGCCUUUUGGUUCGGAAUAACCCCGGGAAACUGGGGCUAAUACCGGAUGGUUCCUACGGGAUAAAGAUUUAUCGCCAAAAGAUGAGUCCGCUUCCGAUUAGCUAGUUGGUGAGGUAAUGGCUCACCAAGGCGACGAUCGGUAGCUGGUCUGAGAGGACGAUCAGCCACACUGGGACUGAGACACGGCCCAGACUCCUACGGGAGGCAGCAGUGGGGAAUAUUGGACAAUGGGGGCAACCCUGAUCCAGCCAUGCCGCGUGAGUGAUGAAGGCCUUCGGGUUGUAAAGCUCUUUUGGCGGGGACGAUGAUGACGGUACCCGCAGAAUAAGCCCCGGCUAACUUCGUG